rnacentral:rRNA from 1 species
UACGUAGGGGGCAAGCGUUGUCCGGAUUUAUUGGGCGUAAAGAGCGUGUAGGCGGCUUUACAGGUCCGUUGUGAAAACUCGAGGCUCAACCUUGAGACGCCGGUGGAAACCGUAAAGCUAGAGUCCGGAAGAGGAGAGUGGAAUUCCUGGUGUAGCGGUGAAAUGCGCAGAUAUCAGGAGGAACACCCGUGGCGAAAGCGGCUCUCUGGGACGGUACUGACGCUGAGACGCGAAAGCGUGGGGAGCAAACAGG